CCCUCAUUGCAAGUCUGAGCCUAGUGAGGCCCUAGAGAUCUGGGUAACAGACAGCCUUCCCAAGCCUUCUCUCUCAGCCUGGCCCAACUCUGUAGUAGCAUCAAGCGGGAAUGUGACCCUUCUGUGUCGGGGGCCACCCCGAGGAGUGGGGUUUGUUCUGUACAAGGAGGGAGAGGAGACACCAGUGGCUAUCAGUGAGCCAACUCAAGAUGGAGCUGAAUUCUCUUUGAACCAUGUGAGCCUCAACCAGACUGGAAAGUAUAGAUGCUGCUAUCAUCUUGAGCCAAACCUCCAUGUCCUGGCCCUGCCCAGUGACCCCCUGGAACUUCUAAUCCAAGGGCAGCAGCAUGAAAGCAGCAGAAAAGGUACAGCUCCCUGGGGUGGAGGUAGGGGGCAAUGCCUUCACUGGGUGCUCGAGGUCAGCACUUAUGUUGGAGUAUGGUGGCACUGGGUGGCAGGGUGAGUGGGAGCAUGAGGGAAGGUUUGUCAGAGGCCAGUGGCACCUGAUAACUGUAGGAAGGAGAGUUAAUUCAGCAGCCCUUCAUUUGUAUUAGUUGAAGGAUCACUGGUUCGAUGACUGUGUGGGAAAGCAGGUGAAGUGCAGUCUCAGGAUAUUUCCUGAGUUCUCAUCUUAAGUGUGUGUUAUCACAUUAAUCAU